UAUUUGUCAAAGUGAGUUUUACAGAAGCUGUAAUUGGAAAACAGAGAGCUGAGCUGAUAUGUGCACACCACCUUCUUUUAGGUAGCAUAUCAUUUGAUCUUGCUUCACACUUAGGACUGAAGUCUCCAUAUUCCAUGGUUGUGGUCCUCCAAGGCAGCUAUUUGUUAUCAUCAAUGGAGCAGGUGUUUUUUGAACAUCUAGACUCCCAGUAGCUGUGACAAAACUCAAGGGCAUGCUUUGAACCCUGGACUGCUCCCUCUGGAGGGACUGGCAAACAUUUGAAGUCAGUAUCUUCCAGCAUCCAGGGUAGCAAGGACAGAAAGGGGUGGGUGUGGGUUAAAGUGUAACUAAUCUAGGGAAAGUGAUUUUAAACAAGUAUUUCUUCAUCUAUCAAAUGCUGAAAAUAUAGAAUAAGAUUUCAGAUUAAUUCUCUGUGUUUCUCUCUUUUGGGCAAUCUAUUUAAUGACGAUUUGUCUAAAGAGGCGGUUAUGAGUCUUAACGAGGCAAUGGAUGAGCAGGAAAAAGUGAGAGAAAUGGCUGAUUGAUACUAAGAGGCCACAAAAGGUAAUUUGAAUAAGACAUAAUUUUAGACUAGAUUUAUUAAGUCUUUUUUUUCCCCCAAGCUGAUUCUAGUGGCACUUACUUCCAAGUUCAGGUAGAUCGGACAAGGUCCAACCACAACUGCAGGUCCCUUCCCCUCUGCCCGGCCACAUAUGGAGCGAGGAUGAGUGGGUGUUUACACAGGACAAAACUGAGACUGGAGGAGUAGAAAAGCCUGACGAUAGGUUGGCCACACCGAACGCGAACGUGCUGAGGGAUGCUUUGUGACACUCCAAGGGCCUCAGAUCCCUCCAGCGCACGAUGGAAGUAACUGUACCAACGCGUUAGGCCGCCUGCUUUUAAAAAGAAGCACUGACAGGUAAAAGGAAAUCAGCAAACGGGGACUCAAAAGGAGAAUAUAUUCUGCUCCCCCUCCAGAAACAGCCUUGGUGUAUAUUCCCACUCCCCCUUGAUCACGGGAGGACCUCCACUGAGCCCUGAUUGGCUGGCUAUAUUGAUUGAUGGCACGCGCUUGAGGUUGCACUUAUAAAAAUCCUCGCGUGCCGCCCUUCAGUCUGCAGCCUCCGUCGGUGAGCGCAAAUAAGUAGAAAGUGACUGUCACGGCGCAGCAGGAGCCAAAGGCGUGGUUGGGGAGCGAAAAACAAGGCAAAGACAAGUGGCCUCCCCUCACGCUUUUUCCGAGCCACUUUCCUGAGGGUCCGGGAUGGAGUCGGUACUACUAGAGCACUUUCGGGCCGGGCCAGACUUCUUUUCGUCAGAAUCUUACUUCGACGACCAGGAAUUUCUCACCAACCAGUCUUCCUGUAACCCACUGGAAGGCGACGAGCUCCUGGAGGCAGAGGUGGCCUUACUGGGCCCGCCGUUCCACGAGUGUUACCACAGCGAAGGAACUGGUGGCGGCGCGGGAUUCGAAGGCGUGCCCGACAGCACUCUGUGCUGCAAAGCUGCUCCGAGACCCUUUUCGGUGUGGUCCUCGUCGUCGACGUCGGCCAGUUUCACCUACGACUGCUGCGAACUAGCGGCCUCGCCCAGGGACAGCCUCAAGGCUUGUAGCGCGGCAGUGCGGCGGCGGGUGCGGUCCGAGGCCGAGCUGCAGCAACUGAGGCAGGCGGCCAACGUGCGUGAGCGGCGGCGCAUGCAAUCCAUCAACGACGCCUUCGAGGGGCUGCGCUCUCAUAUCCCCACUCUGCCCUACGAGAAGCGCCUCUCCAAGGUGGACACACUGCGCCUGGCCAUUGGCUACAUCAACUUCCUCAGCGAGCUGGUCCAGUCCGACUUACCCCUGCGCAGCGCGGGCCGCGAGAACCCAUGCCAGCCCAAGACGGUUAUCUUCUGUCACCGGGGCACAAGAAUACCUCCUCCAAGUGACCCAGAUUAUGGACUUCCUUCAAUCACUGGGCAUUCACUCUCUUGGACUGAUGAAAAACAACUAAAGGAACAAAACAUUGUUAGAACUGCUAAAGUCUGGACUCCAGAAACCCUGGGAAGUUAAACAGCAAAUCAUGUGUAAACAAAAUUGAAAAUGAGUCCCCAUUUGAUUUCAUAUAUUAGAGAUGAUUCUGCAUAUCCACAUGAGUUCCUGGGAAGGAGGAGAAACAUCACGUCUAAGAAUUUCACAGAAUAUACUUCAAAAAGUUACUCCUAUUUCUAAAAGUAUAUUUAAUUGCAAACAGUAGUAGCAACAACACUUUCAGAGGCAAUUGAAAAAUUGACUGCUGUACCACUGGGGACUUGAAUCCCUGGGGCCAGAUUCAGUCUUAUCCAGUAAUAAGUGCACCAGACAGUUCACUGUAAGGUUCACUUUUACCAGUGUAUAAAUUAGUUAUAAAGGCAAUCUACCUUAGAACUUUGUUAGCGAGAUCUGCGACUAACCUAAAGGCACAGGAAAAACUUACCAACAUGCAAAAGAUUUUCCAGCUAUGUUUCUUCUACCCCAAAUUCCACCACAGUGU